UACGGGGGGGGCAAGCGUUGUUCGGAAUUACUGGGCGUAAAGGGCGCGUAGGCGGCCUGCUAAGUCGGAUGUGAAAUCCCUCGGCUCAACCGAGGAACUGCAUCCGAUACUGGCGGGCUUGAAUCCGGGAGAGGGAUGUGAAAUUCCCGGUGUAGCUCGGUGAAAUGCGUAGAUAUCGGGAGGAACACCGGUGGCGAAGGCGGCUCUCUGGGACGGUACUGACGCUGAGACGCGAAAGCGUGGGGAGCGAACA
rnacentral:rRNA from 1 species